CAAUAGCGUAUAUUUAAGUUGCUGCAGUUAAAAAGCUCGUAGUUGGAUUUCGGGUGGGAAUGGCCGGUCCGCCGUUUCGGUGUGCACUUGCUACGCCCACCUUGCUGCCGGGGACGUGCUCUUGAGUUCACGCUCGGGACACGGAGUCGGCGAGGUUACUUUGAGUAAAUUAGAGUGUUCAAAGCAGGCCUUUGCUGUGAAUACAUUAGCAUGGAAUAAUAAGAUAGGACUGUAGUGCUAUUUUGUUGGUUUGCGUACUAUGGUAAUGAUUAAUAGGGAUAGUUGGGGGUAUUCAUAUUCAAUUGUCAGAGGUGAAAUUCUUGGAUUUAUGGAAGAUGAACUACUGCGAAAGCAUUUACCAAGGAUGUUUUCAUUAA
rnacentral:rRNA from 1 species